UACAGAGGUGGCAAGCGUUGUUCGGAAUUACUGGGCGUAAAGGGCGCGUAGGCGGCCUUCUAAGUCAGACGUGAAAUCCCCCGGCUUAACCUGGGAACUGCGUCUGAUACUGGGAGGCUUGAGUAUGGGAGAGGGAUGUAGAAUUCCAGGUGUAGCGGUGAAAUGCGUAGAUAUCUGGAGGAAUACCAGUGGCGAAGGCGACUUUCUGGGCUGUAACUGACGCUGAGGCGCGAAAGCGUGGGGAGCAAACAGG
rnacentral:rRNA from 1 species